ACGAUCAUACCAGCACUAAUACACUGGAUCCCAUCAGAACUCUACAGUUAAGCGUGCUUGGGCAAGAGUAAUACUGGGAUGGUUGACCUCCUCAAAAGUCUUCGUGGUGCACCCC